AUGAGGCUGCUGGGUCUUGUCCUGUGCCUGGUCACAGGUUCUCAAGGUGUCCUGUGCCAGGUGCAGCUGCAGGAGUCAGGACCUGGCCUGACGAAGCCCUCACAGACCCUGUCCCUCACCUGUGCUGUCUCUGGUUACUCCAUCACCAGUAACUACUGCUGGAAGUGGAUCCGUCAGUCAUCAGGAAAGGGGCUGGAGUGGAUAGGCCGCAUAUGUUAUAAUGAUAACACUUACUACAGCUCUACCCUCAAGAGCCGAGUGUCCAUCUCCAGAGACACAUCCAAGAACCAGUUCUCCCUGCAGCUGAGCUCCCUGACUACCCAGGGCACAGCCACCUAUUACUGUGCCAGAGCCACUUUGCGGGGAGCUCAGUUGGCUCUGCUGCACCAGGGUGAGCCAGCAGAGGGCCGUACCUGGGGCUCAGGAGAGGACAGGCCCCAGGUGGAUGCCCACCUGCAGGAGGACCCUCCUCAGGCAGCACAAUGA